GGUUUACUACGGCGUUGGUGACUACCAAUAAUGUUUUAUGAUCUAUGCCUUCUGAAUAAGGGAACUACGAAGUCUGGCGGCAGUAGACCGGGCAUGUAACUAGAAAUAGUCAUGUAAUCCCGGAAACUUAAAGUACAGGCGAUUGGUACCCACCUGGUCUAGCACCAGGUCAAAAACUGAGGUAAGACGGCGUUGUGGUGAACCC
rnacentral:other from 1 species